UACGGGGGGGGCAAGCGUUGUUCGGAAUUACUGGGCGUAAAGGGCUCGUAGGUGGCCAACUAAGUCAGACGUGAAAUCCCUCGGCUUAACCGGGGAACUGCGUCUGAUACUGGAUGGCUUGGAGGUUGGGAGAGGGAUGCGGAAUUCCAGGUGUAGCGGUGAAAUGCGUAGAUAUCUGGAGGAACACCGGUGGCGAAGGCGGCGAUCCUGGACCAAUUCUGACGCUGAGGAGCGAAAGCCAGGGGAGCAAACCGGG
rnacentral:rRNA from 1 species